rnacentral:lncRNA from 1 species
GUGUGCUAAGCAUUCAGAUAUCUUGGAGUGUUGGGUGGGCCUCCUAGAAGUCUUUUGCCUCCUGGAACCCUACACUUAGAGAGAAGGUGAGGUAAAGUUAUUUGUUGUCAAGUUCACCUGGAGGAGAAACCAGAACUGCCCCAGAUGUGGCAGCCGCUGACUUCAGCAUAUCAGCCACGGCUGCUUCCAAAUGGAUUCUGAGGACAACUGGAAGAGCAAUUAUUGCUGCCGACUUUAGGGACAGACACUUUAAUGGCUUUGUCAGCUGGGAUUUGAGACCGGGAAGGAUCCAAAGUGCAUCUUUCAAGUCAUCCAAGUUCAGUGGCAAGGCAAAAGUCAAGAUGCCUGUU